AGUGAACGCUGGCGGUAGGCCUAACACAUGCAAGUCGAACGGCAGCACAGUAAGAGCUUGCUCUUACGGGUGGCGAGUGGCGGACGGGUGAGGAAUACAUCGGAAUCUACUUUUUCGUGGGGGAUAACGUAGGGAAACUUACGCUAAUACCGCAUACGACCUACGGGUGAAAGCAGGGGAUCUUCGGACCUUGCGCGAUUGAAUGAGCCGAUGUCGGAUUAGCUAGUUGGCGGGGUAAAGGCCCACCAAGGCGACGAUCCGUAGCUGGUCUGAGAGGAUGAUCAGCCACACUGGAACUGAGCCACGGUCCAGACUCCUACGGGAGGCAGCAGUGGGGAAUAUUGGACAAUGGGCGCAAGCCUGAUCCAGCCAUACCGCGUGGGUGAAGAAGGCCUUCGGGUUGUAAGGCCCUUUUGUUGGGAAAGAAAAGCAGCAGGUUAAUACCCCGCUGUCCUGACGGUACCCAAAGAAUAAGCACCGGCUAACUUCGU
rnacentral:rRNA from 1 species